rnacentral:rRNA from 1 species
UACGGAGGGUGCAAGCGUUGCUCGGAAUUAUUGGGCGUAAAGAGCUCGUAGGCGGUCUGUCGCGUCGGCUGUGAAAUCCCGGAGCUCAACUCCGGGUCUGCAGUCGAUACGGGCAAACUGGAGUACUGCAGGGGAGACUGGAAUUCCUGGUGUAGCGGUGAAAUGCGCAGAUAUCAGGAGGAACACCGGUGGCGAAGGCGGGUCUCUGGGCAGUAACUGACGCUGAGGAGCGAAAGCGUGGGGAGCGAACAGG